UUUUUUUUUUUUUUCCUGUUUCUGUUUCAGUCUGGGGGUUUCAUAAUCUUUGAUUAAAUGCUGGACAUCCUGUGCAGGACAAUAGUAUGAAGGAUUCCACAGCCAUCCAAAGCACUGCUCUGGCAGGAAUGCACGAGGCCGUUUAUACAGCUGCCCAGAGUUGAUAACCGGCUGGUUGCUUGUCCACAUUGACUCACAUUGGAUCGAAAGGCCCUCAUUACCCUCACUGGUUUAAUGAUAUUCUCUGAUUAAACUUGGCCAGUCUGC